GAUGAAGAACGUAGCGAAAUGCGAUACUUGGUGUGAAUUGCAGAAUCCCGUGAACCAUCGAGUCUUUGAACGCAAGUUGCGCCCGAAGCCAUCAGGUUGAGGGCACGUCUGCCUAGGCGUCACAUAUCGUUGCCCAAUGCCUAUUGCAGUGCAAUAGGAAUUUCUAGGGCGAAUGAUGGCUUCCCGUGAGCGUUGUUGCCUCGCGGUUGGUUGAAAAUCGAGUCCUUGGUAGGGUGUGCCAUGGUAGAUGGUGGUCGAGUUAGAACGAUACCGAUCAUGUGCAUGCUCCCCAAAAUAUGGCCUCUAUGACCCACACGCGUCUUUUGACGCUCAUGACGAGACCUCAGGUCAGGCGGGGCUACCCGCUGAAUUUAAGCAUAUCAAUAAGCGGAGGA
rnacentral:misc_RNA from 1 species